GACGCGGUGGUAGAGUGGUUAAUACGCACCAUUACUUGAAGGGCUGAAACCGUACGGGAGAAAUCCAUGCCUUUGACGAGAGGACCGGCGGGACCCCGGAGAAAAGUGGUGUUCCUUCGGGAGCGCAGGUUCGAAUCCUGCCUGCGUCG